AAGGCCUUCGGGUUGUAAAGCCCUUUAGGUGGGGAAGAAGGUUUUAAGGUGAUAAGCCUUAGAGCUUGACGGUACCCGCAGAAUAAGCACCGGCUAACUCUGUGC
rnacentral:rRNA from 1 species